AGAAAUUUAGAUUAGUAUUAAGAUCAAAAGCCUUCAAAGCUUUUAGCAAAAGUGAAAACCUUUUAAUUUCUA
rnacentral:tRNA from 1 species